AACUCGGCCAAUACCAAAUCGAAAUCUCAUAAAUAUCUAGUCGAACAAUUUGGUGGAAUGUUGCAUAGACGUAACGUCAGCUAAGGGUUUUCAUGCCAAAAAGUGAAUAUAGUGAUGAAGACAUUGAAGCUGUGAAACAACUAGCUACCGACUAUACAUUAUUACUAGACAACACACCAGUUUCUGUCAUUGUAAAUGAAUAUCCGCUGUGGAUAAUAAAGUGGCAGGCGUGGCAGCGGAGCCAGGACAUACCGCAGCCGAUUUCUGAUCUUAUUUUAAAUUGUGACAUCGAUAUGUAUCCUAAUAUAAGAAAAUUUUUAUGUAUUAUGGCUACACUACCUGUCAGUGCAGCGACAGCAGAAAGGUGUUUCUCUACGUUGCACAGAAUUAAAUCGUAGCUAAGGUCUUCAAUGGUUGAAGAUCGCCUAACCGGACUGGCACUUCUCCAUGUUCAUAAAAUCGUACCCAUUGACGUAAAUAACGCAAUAACGCGUUUAGGGAGAAGACUUAAAAAAAAAUUGAUUUUUUCAGGUGUUCAAUAAAGAAUAAAUAUUUUCAUG